rnacentral:lncRNA from 1 species
AGAUCUGGUCGCAGCAUCUCUAGAUCCUCUCUGACCACCACUAGCAUUGCCCGUAUUUCUAGAUGGUCUACCCCGAGCAAUGGUAGCACCCGGUUUCCCACUCUGAUUUGCAUUCUGUUCAGACAACCUCGGGCAAUCUUUGAUAAAGUGGUCGGCUGACCCGCACUUGUAACAGGAGCGGUCAUGGAAUCUACAGCUCCCUGAGUGCCAUUUACCGCAAUACCGACACUCCGUUCUGUCUCGACGAUC